CUUCAUUGCGACGAAUCACAUAUAAGAAGCUGAAGCUCCGUCAAAAUUCAAUCAGUCGGCAGCUAGGAAACCGUGAAGAUCAUUUCGCAGAAGUUGUGCAAGUUUUUACGUUUGAAAUCGAUCGAUUCAAGUUUCGAGUGUGAAAAAAAUCCGAAGUGAAGAUGUCUGAAAAACUCGACAAGGUGGUGUUCAACUGCUCCCGGUGCAAAUGCACUUACUACGCCACCAAUUGCAGCAUGAACGAACAACGCACAUGCCGUAAUUGCUUGAACACCAAUCGUCCCAUCCGAAAGAGCGAACCACACAGUGGUUACACUCCAAAAGCUGACAAGAAGAGCCCUGGCCGUCCAAAGCGCACCUAAUCCAGAAUGAUGGCAUUCGUCGAAAUUCUGAAUACACUACGCAUCUUUUUGAAAUAUGCACACAACAAUACUCGUAUCCUAGAUUGAACAUUAUUUUGUGUACGAUCAUCA